CGCUGGCGGCGUGCUUAAUACAUGCAAGUCAACUUGACUUUAGAUAGCAAUAUCGAAAAGUAGGGUGGCGCACGGGUGCGUAACGCGUAGGUAAUCUGCCCUGAGGUCUGACAUAACCCGUCGAAAGGCGGGCUAACAUCAGAUGAUAUAUAAUCACGACAUCGUGGAAAUAUCAAAUCUUCGGAGCCUUGGGAUGAGCCUGCGUCUGAUUAGGUAGUUGGCGGAGUAAUAGCCCACCAAGCCUACGAUCAGUAGCUGGUCUGAGAGGAUGAUCAGCCACACUGGAACUGAGACACGGUCCAGACUCCUACGGGAGGCAGCAGUAAGGAAUAUUGCUCAAUGGGGGAAACCCUGAAGCAGCAACGCCGCGUGAAGGAUGAAAUACUUUUGUAUGUAAACUUCUGUAAGAUGGGAAAAAUAUUCUCCUCGGGAGAAUUGAUUGUACCAUCAGAGUAAGCCCCGGCUAACUGCGUG
rnacentral:rRNA from 1 species